rnacentral:rRNA from 1 species
GACGUAGGGGGCCAGCGUUGUUCGGAAUUACUGGGUGUAAAGGGUUCAUAGGCGGUGUGGCAAGUCGGGAGUGAAAUCUCUGGGCUCAACUCAGAGACUGCUUCCGAAACUGCUGUGCUGGAGUGUGGGAGAGGCGCGUGGAAUUGCAGGUGUAGCGGUGAAAUGCGUAGAUAUCUGCAGGAACACCCGUGGCGAAAGCGGCGCGCUGGACCACUACUGACGCUGAGGAACGAAAGCUAGGGGAGCAAACAGG